ACCGUAUUAGGCUCUAAGUCUUUAGGUGUUUACUUCUUAAAGUGUGGUACCACACUAGCUUACCUGCUGCCAUAAUAAGGUCGGUCGCUUGAAAUCUCCACUGAAAUUCCCCACCCAAUUGCAUUUUUGAAGACCUGUGCAAUUCUUUGAAUUUUCCCAGUUUGAGAGAUUAGACUUCCACAAUAGAAUUUCAUGCAUUUUAUCUUGUAGCAUGAGAAUAGCACUCUUACUCAAAGAAGCAUAAAUAUCAUUUAUAAACAGGUUUUGAUAGGUUCUGCUCAGGGCCUCAAUAAAGUGAAAGUAAACAGUUUCCAUUUCUUAAGCUACAAAGAAGCGUCUAAUUUUGUUAUACUUGACAAGAUCCUGUCCCAGGACCAAUAGAUUAGAGCUGACUCCCGAAAACAAGGUAAAAAUCAGGACCAAGUUUGACAUUCUUGAAAGGUCAGGUGUAUCCUUUCAAGAACAGUUGAAAUGUGAUGGACAAUUCUUAACAGGUUCUUCUUGAUGAGUGGACAUAUGGAUAUGUCCCCAAUGGUUCAGACUGCCAGUCAGUGUGUGAUGUGCCGAGCUGAAAUAAGUGUAUUCAGUACUGCUUGAGGAAAAGUUGUUUGAGUACCCUGGUUCCAUUAUCCAAGUAUCAUGGAAGCUGCUGCAGCAUGGCUUCUUUCCAUACUCCUUGAACAACUUAGAUAGCCCCAGGGCUUUCAGCCUUCCGGGUGCUACUGCAUUAAAACUUCUGUUGUCUCUGACCAUUGGUCAUACUGUUUGGGAUAGACGGGAGUUGCAAUCCAACAACAUCUGGAGGACUAGGAUGUUCCUCACCGCUGCACUAGAGCAUUGCCCCUGUUUCCAUGCUGGAAUGGAAAGCUGUGUUACUGUGAUUCCCCCCCUCCAUGAUCUUGGACUUCUGAUUUUACCCAAAGCAGCAGAGGAAACAGAACUAUAUCUCGGGGUGGAUUUCUUUUGACUACAGAAGGACAAGUUCACAAAAGGAUCAAUGUUAUACUAGCUGCAUAGAUAAGACAGUGACUUGGUUUGCACGCCAGUGUCACAUUAAGCCAAAACAUGGCUUAGCGCAAAUACACAGGCUUCCAAAGAAGAGACUUUGGCCAUUUUUCUUGUCCUCAGUAGUCCUACAACUGCACUGAGCUACACCAUCGUUUACCUCAGGGUGUCAGGGGAUCAUAGUUUUGCUCUCCUGGACCAAUCACUAGCCAUGAACUAUUAAGACAAACCUGGAUUUGGACAACAUGCCAAACCAUGACUUAGCUCAAUGGAGCAGCAGAAUAGCAGAGAAGUAAGCCACAGUGAUCUAAUAUAAUGCUUGUGUUUUACACUAAGCCAUAGUCUGGCUCUUUGACAUGUGAACCAGGCCUGUGAAUGGAAAAUCUGCUGCUUGCUUCCUGAAAGUUUGUUUUUCAGUUACCUAGUCCAGCAAAGCUGCCUUUAGGCGUUGAUGCAUCUGUAAUGCAACUUGCUUAGCAGCUGAUGUUGAUAAAAACAAGAACUUUGAUUAUUAAACUGCCAAACAAUAGAUCAGAUUCAGAGCAUUGUGAAGCGCAGCAGGAAAUAUGAAAAUGGAUGUUUAAAUAGUCAAAGCUUGUGUGCGUGCUUUAUGUAACAGUACAUUAUUCUGACUUUCAUAAUGUUUUGUAUUAUAAGUGCAUAUUGAGACUGAGUUUCAAAAGUUUGCCAUUAAAUUUUGAUUCAGUCAAA